AGCGUAUAUUAAAGUUGUUGCAGUUAAAAAGCUCGUAAUUGAAUUUCGGGAUUAAUAUGUUGGUCGUGCCUUGGUACGUACUGGUAUUAUUGAUUCCUACCUUCUGAAGAACCUCGAUGUCAUUAAUUUGGUGUCUUGGGGAAUCAGGACCGUUACUUUGAAAAAAUUAGAGUGUUUAAAGCAGGCUCGCGCUUGAAUACAUUAGCAUGGAAUAAUGAAAUAGGACGUUUGAUUCUAUUUUGUUGGUUUCUAGGAUCGACGUAAUGAUUAAUAGGGAUAGUUGGGGGCAUUAGUAUUCAAUUGUCAGAGGUGAAAUUCUUGGAUUUAUUGAAGACUGACUACUGCGAAAGCAUUUGCCAAGGAUGUUUUCAUUAAUCAAGAACGAAAGUUAGGGGAUCGAAGACGAUCAGAUACCGUCGUAGUCUUAACCAUAAACUAUGCCGACUAGGGAUCGGAUGAUGUUAAUUUUUUAAUGACUCAUUC
rnacentral:rRNA from 1 species